AUUGCUGCCUGAGUUAUAACAGCUGCCCUGGGAAUCUUGUCUGAACAACAAGUUAACUGCUGUUCCCAGUUAUAUCUGGUCUUUCCCACCCCCAAACAUACACAAAAGAUUUUUGUCAUUCUUGGCACUGGACAACAGAAGUGAUAAGACAUGCCAGCAGAACUCUAAAGGCAGAAUGUCCUUCCACCUGUUUUAUGCUGUAAGACAAACUUCCAAGUGCGAGGCAGUGUGGAGGGCUGUUGCCUUGAAUGGCAGCUGAAUGCACCAGCGGGAUCCUUGGCAGCAAUGCCCAGGCACUGAAGUCGGGCAUUCAGGAGAGCUAAAUGGAGAAAAGAAACUUGAGCAAACUGCUUCCUGGAACACUGAGAACCUGAAUGGGAAAUUAAGAAGAACCAGAUUCUUUCUAUUCUUCCACCAGCCAAGGUCAGAUUUCCAAACUUCUAUUGAUUCUAAUCUUUCCCAAACAGUGCUGUGGCAAUGUAUGAAAGUAAUAAAAAUAAUCCUUUUUCUGUUAAAAAAAAAAUUGCUGUUACUUGCUGUUUUGUUAUGCUUUUGCUGGAGAUUUUCCCACCCAUCUUAAAGCAGCAACUUCAGGAUGGGGGAAUCAAGCAAAACCAUGGUGAAGAGAUUCAUUUAAAGAGGACAAGUGAUUUAUUCUACAUCUCAGGAGACAGUUCCUUAAGGUGAUGAGCACAAAAGGAUCCAUCUUAUACAGUGCUUGCCAGCUUCCAUAAUACUACUCACCACGAUGUUGAAAUCACCUGUUCCAGAACCAGUCCUGUCCUUUGACAAGAAGGAUUUAAUUAUCAGUAGUGGUGGGGACUGGCUGGAGAGAGGAAAAACACUUCAAGGACUCUGCCACCUUUCGUAGAUGGAGAGUGCAAAGUUUGUACCAUGGAACUCCUUCUCUAACAGUUACUCUGUGGCAGUGCCUAUUUCAAACCUCCCUUAACUUCUGAUUGUAUAGAUGUUUGUUUCAUUUGUUCAUCUGUUUGUUCACUUAGUCAGAGAUGUUUUAAGCCUUAAGAGAAAUAGUGGACUAGAAAAUGCCUUGGAAAAGUACAAAGUUCAAUCCAAGUAAACUGUUUUUAAACUAGGAAUUUAUGAAGCCUAAAAUAUAAAAUGUAUAUACAUGGAUAUGCUCUGAAGUGAGGUAGAGGGGUAGAAAUCAACAUUGUGAUAUUGUACUAUAGUUUUGCAAGAUGUUACCAUUGGGGGAAAAUGUUUGAAGGGUAUACGGGAUAUCUCUGCCUUAUUUCUUACAACUGCAUGUGAAUCUACAGUUAUCUCAAAAUAAAAAUUUAAUUAACAAUUUGUAAAAGAUCCUGUCCUGGGUUUAAAGGGACCCAUUACAACUUGCUUAUCGUUGGGUAGAGGUUAUAUCCAGGGAAGAGGGAACCGAGGAGAAGUGGAGGAAAGGAGGAAGGCAUGAGAUGUUGGCCCUAACCUAGAUUGGUCCAGAGACUGGAAGUUCAAGACCAAGGUAUAGCAGAGCUGGUGUCUGGUGAGGGCUCUCCUCGUAGGUGGCAGACAGCUGCCUUCUCACUGUGUGCUCACCUGGCCUUUCCUCUGUGUUCCUCAGAGUUUGAAGAUUUGUUUUGAAUCUUGAAGAGAGAGCAGCAAGCCUUUUGGCCUAUGGAUUCUAAGAGUCACAUUCCAACAGGUGAUAUCAAAAGGACAAGGAAGCAGGGAGGGGUGACUUGCACGGAAGGUGCCCAGUGAGAUGUCUCUGCCAUGGAGAUUGUGCUGAUGCCACAAGCAAAGCGUUUGUACCCCUCUCAUCCACAAGAGAAGUCCCUCCGGGUAUUUCAGAUGAUACCUGAAAGGAUGAUAAGGCAGGGAAUCAGAGGCUGACACCGCUAUUGGAUGGACUGGGGGAGUGAAGACCAAAAGGUCAUUUUCAGGAAAAAAAUAAAUUAGGAAGUACAGGGAUAAGACAGAAGCCACCACCAAUAACUCCACACCUACAGCUCCAAAGCAUGUGAUUCAGAAGGAUCCUUGUUGAUAUUGGCCAUCACCUUGUGUCACAAUACCAGGGGCCGCAGAGAUUUAAAUAAAUGCAUCCCAGAUACAGAGUUAAAAGCAUGCCAACAAUGAGGGCUGUGUGGUUUGGAGAAGAGCAGAAGAGCACACUGCUUUCAGUCAGGCAGAGGCAGAUUAGAUUGCCUGCCACCUCCAGUGGGAUGGUGGCUCCGGACAGUCACUCACCUUCUCUAAAACCCACCUCCACCUAGUCUAUAAAAUGCAGAGAACGAACAAUGCCUACUCCACUGAAUUGUAUGAGCAUUAGAAAGGGUGUGUGCAAAUCACCUGACAUUUGGCAGAAUUCAUUACAUGCCAGCUGUUAUUGAAAGUAAUUGAAAUGUUGUCAAGCUAGUCAGAGGAAGAUUUCUAACUAAAAGCUAUACUAGCGAAAGCACUGAGAAUAGAGUGUGAUAUCUCCUAUUAAAAAACACAUACGUAUACAUAAUACAUGUAUGUAAAUACUCAAUAUUUUUAUAGAUAGUUGUCUAAUGAGAUCAUUAAAAUAUAUACAUAUACAUAAUAAAGUUGAAAAGUUUUCUCAAUAAAUAAAAUAUAUACAUAUACACAAUAAAGU
rnacentral:lncRNA from 1 species